AACGCAACUGGCGCCGCUUUACCGGCAUGCCUGCUUCAGUGUGCUAGGAGAGUAAACUAUCAUUAUCAAAUAUAAUGCGAUUGAGGUACAUUUAUGUUCUUCUUUCGUUAAAUAUGAAGGUGUGAAAGAUGAGUAAUCUCUCACACUUGCAAUCGAAGUAGUCAUGCUUGUUCGUGAUCUCGUUUAACCAGUGCUAAAGUUUAUUGCUUAGCUAUAAAGCACAUCUAAUCUAUUAAAUAACUCCAAAUUUUGCAUCUGAAAUCAGACAAGGAUACCCGCUGAACUUAA
rnacentral:misc_RNA from 1 species